rnacentral:rRNA from 1 species
AUUGAACGCUGGCGGCAUGCCUUACACAUGCAAGUCGAACGGCAGCACGGGUGCUUGCACCUGGUGGCGAGUGGCGAACGGGUGAGUAAUACAUCGGAACAUGUCCUGUAGUGGGGGAUAGCCCGGCGAAAGCCGGAUUAAUACCGCAUACGAUCUUCGGAUGAAAGCGGGGGACCUUCGGGCCUCGCGCUUUAGGGUUGGCCGAUGGCUGAUUAGCUAGUUGGUGGGGUAAAGGCCUACCAAGGCGACGAUCAGUAGCUGGUCUGAGAGGACGACCAGCCACACUGGAACUGAGACACGGCCCAGACUCCUACGGGAGGCAGCAGUGGGGAAUUUUGGACAAUGGGCGAAAGCCUGAUCCAGCAAUGCCGCGUGUGUGAAGAAGGCCUUCGGGUUGUAAAGCACUUUUGUCCGGAAAGAAAUACUUGGCCCUAAUACGGUCGGGGGAUGACGGUACCGGAAGAAUAAGCACCGGCUAACUACGUG